GCGCCAGGGUACGAGAUGGUGGACUGCCGGGACUGGAGGAAGGGCUGCAUGCCGACCUUCAGCCUCCCCACCACCAGCUACAGCGCGCCGGAAAAGCGGUUCACAUUCGUCAAGGUGGCGUCCACCGAUUUCUACGGCUACAACAUCGGGUACAACAUCACCGUCACGUUUGAAUACUGCAAGAGCCUCUGCUUGAGCAUGUGCUUGUGCGCCGCCUUCGCCUACAAGAGGAAUGGCCAAAGUCAGUGCUACACGAAAGGGGUCCUCUUCAACGGUUACAUGCCGCCCAUCGCCCCCAGAAACAUAUAUCUCAAGGUGCCUACCGACCUCCACGCCUCGGCACCGCCGCCGUCCAUGGUCCUCGACUACAAUCUUAAUGGCUCUGAUGCGGCCAUCGACCCGCCAUACGUCGACAUGUAUGGGGCACUAAGAAGUGGCCCGAACUUGUCGUACCUUUGCUGGUUCGCCGUGGUGCUGGGAUUUCUCGAGCUACUCUUCCCCGCCACGGCAUGGUGGUUCAUGUCUGGCCAGGAGAGCAUGCCCAGCUCGCUGGAGGCAGGCUAUCGGCUGGUCAUGGGGACCUAGUUCAGGAGGUUCACAUAUCGAGAGCUCAAGAAAGUCACUGGGGACUUCAACGAGGUUCUCGGCCGCGGCGGCUCCGGAGUGGUGUACCACGACGUGCUUGACAAGACCACCGUGGUGGCGGUGAAGGAGCUGACAAACAUGCUGCAGGGCGAGGAGGAGUUUUGGGCGGAGAUGAAGGUGUUUGGGAGGAUCAACCAUAUCAACCUGGUGAGGAUAUGGGGGUUUUGCUCUGAGGGCAAGCACAAGCUGUUGGUGUACGAGUACGUGGAGAACGGGUCGCUUGAUAGGCACCUGUUCAGCGAGGACAGCAGCAAGGCACUGGCAUGGAGAGAGCGGUUCAAGAUUGCGUUGGGCGCGGCCAAGGGCCUAGCCUACCUCCACCACGAGUGCCUCGAGUGGGUCAUCCACUGCGACGUCAAGCCGGAGAACAUCCUGCUCACUCGAGACCUCGACCCAAAGAUCGCCAACUUCGGGCUGUCCAAGAUGUCCGGGAGGAAAGCCGUCGGCGACGGCAUGCAACUCUCCCAAAUGAGGGGGACGACAGGCUACAUGGCACCCAAGUGGGUGUUGGGCCUGCCGAUCGACACCAAGGUCGAUGUGUACAGCUAUGGCAUCGUGCUUCUGGAGAUCCUGAUGAGAAGCAGGAUAACAGAACAGAGGACUGUGGACGACAAGGAGCGGCUACAGAUGAGCCAGAUCGUGCAGGCGCUGAAGCAGGUGGUGGCGAGCGGAGACAUCACGUCAUUGGUGGAUAGCAGGCUGAACGGGCAGUUCAACCCUCGACAGGCCAUGGACGUCAUCUUCAAGGCUCUUAGAGCUUGCGAUGAUGAGGAUGAACACCCUACGUACUUGUUGUGA
rnacentral:rRNA from 1 species